AAUACUAUCAGAUAUUCGUCAACAGUGUUAGCCUUGCUCUCGAUCUUGAAUAGUUUUUGCAGAUUAAAUCUAGUAUAAAACGCAGUGCAAGCAAUGCUAUUGCAUAGUUUAGAUAGACUGUAAGCAGAAACAUCAUGCCAUCCCCCUGUGAGCCCUGCAAAGAAACCUGCCAAGAAGGGGCCUGUGAAGAUAAGUGCGCUUGCAAGGAAAAGGGUUGUAACGACUGUUCUUCUACAGGGGGCUGUUGCUAAUAACCAACAUGGACAGAGCUGAUGCCGGCCAGCAUGACUCAAGAAUUACGAAGAUCCUGGAAGCUUUCUUCCCAAUUUCUUUUUCUGUUGUAUUCCUGAUUACUAUUGUUCUGUUUUACUGUCUAAUAUAGUUUUGUUGAACUUA